rnacentral:rRNA from 1 species
GAUGAACGCUAGCUACAGGCUUAACACAUGCAAGUCGAGGGGAAACGAUAGAGAAGGCUUGCUUUCUCUAGGCGUCGACCGGCGCACGGGUGAGUAACGCGUAUCCAACCUGCCCACCACUUGGGGAUAACCUUGCGAAAGUAAGACUAAUACCCAAUGAUAUCCCUAGAAGACAUCUGAAGGAGAUUAAAGAUUCAUCGGUGAUGGAUGGGGAUGCGUCUGAUUAGCUUGUUGGCGGGGUAACGGCCCACCAAGGCGACGAUCAGUAGGGGUUCUGAGAGGAAGGUCCCCCACAUUGGAACUGAGACACGGUCCAAACUCCUACGGGAGGCAGCAGUGAGGAAUAUUGGUCAAUGGGCGAGAGCCUGAACCAGCCAAGUAGCGUGCAGGAUGACGGCCCUAUGGGUUGUAAACUGCUUUUAUAAGGGAAUAAAGUGAGUCUCGUGAGACUUUUUGCAUGUACCUUAUGAAUAAGGACCGGCUAAUUCCGUGCCAGCAGCCGCAGUAA